UCCUUAUACAACUUCUACCGUAACUGACCCGAUUCCAACUCAAACUCCUGUUAGUCCUGACAAACUUAGAUAAACUCUUCUUUGGUGACCCCAACAACAGAGACGACCUACUCCUUAGAUGUAAGGGAUUACGGUGUCUGGAAUGAAAACGUUUGUUCGAGUUCGUUGUAGAACUGUGAUUAAGAACGAAGUCUCCUCUUUCUCCGUUCCGAAAGUGACAGGCAGUGAUACGUCCUCUCCACCGCAUACUGUGUAGCCCAAAAGACCUCUUCUUGUCUCUAAAUAACGUGUACCUGAGUUAAGUCAAGGAACGGUUUACGUUUAAUAGAUAUGGUGUUUGCAAACGUAGAUUCUACGAACGAGUUAGACUAUUAGAUCUUAGACAUGGUAUGUCCGGAUCACAACGACUAAGUGUCUUCAAUUCACAUCGUUACUUCAAAUUCCCUGUUAACAAGGUUGAAUACGUUUCUGAACUUUCGUGUUGUGGUGUGAAGUAUGCAACGUAAUUUGGUUUAUUAAACGUCGAGGGACGGUAAAUGCCUGUUCUUGAACACGAAGUCGUUGACUUUACGACGCCCCAAGAACUUCAACACGCGUAAAGUUCUAGACCCAUGGGUUGCUCUUACUGAGUAGUCUUCAAACGAGCCGCCAUACCAAAAGAAGAAGAACUCCUACAACGCAGAGUUCUAGGUGAAUCACAAAGCCAACGUUAAGAAGUAGUUAAGUUGUAAAACGGACUCUACAUAGUUCAACCGAUGUGUUUCAACAAGAAGGCUUGACCAGUCUAACCGUUGGAACUCUUAUGAGCCUUAGCAUGAGAUGUACCACAAAAUUCCCAAGUUUCGACAAAGUCUCCCGUAGUUCGUGCCGCGGUACGUUCACUUGCUUAGUCUCCUCAAAACCGAGAAGUUAGUAAGUAAGCACGACUCUUACGUUCUGUUUCAAUAAGUAGAGACAGCUUCUUUGUAUCCCGUCGGUGAGAACACGUCUUUUUAGAUUUUCCGACCGAACGUUCUUCUAUGAAGUAAUUCUAUGCCUUCCGAAGUCACCAACAU
rnacentral:rRNA from 1 species